UACGUAGGUGGCAAGCGUUGUCCGGAUUUACUGGGCGUAAAGAGCGCGCAGGCGGUCGUUCAAGUCGCGUGUGAAAGCCCCCGGCUCAACUGGGGAGGGUCACGCGAUACUGAUCGACUCGAAGGCAGGAGAGGGUAGUGGAAUUCCCGGUGUAGUGGUGAAAUGCGUAGAUAUCGGGAGGAACACCAGUGGCGAAGGCGACUACCUGGCCUGUUCUUGACGCUGAGGCGCGAAAGCUAGGGGAGCAAACGGGAUUAGAUACCCCCGUA
rnacentral:rRNA from 1 species